CGAUUCGGCCAUGUGCCGUUUUCACUGACGCUAUGCAAUCAGGCCGCCGACCGACUAUCCCCUCGACUAGCACCUCGCGCGUACUCCGAAUCCUUUUUCGUUCGGUUUUCUUUCCGUAAACGGUUCAAUGGGUUACGCGCGAGACAGGUGUUGGGGGGGGGGGAGGAAACUACUUCGUGCAACCACGACUGGAGGACAUGUGCACAGCGAUUUAGGUUUGGUGGCACCGUACUUGUUAUCAACGCUGUCGUCGCGGUCCUGGUUGCGAUGAACGCAGUGGGUCGCAGAUUUUUCUCACAUUUCCGCUCGUUAGACUAUAAUACCCGUUACACUACAGGUAGUGUACCCCGUUUGCAGUAAACUGUUGUUAUAGUUACGUCUGCUCCGCAGGAUACCGAUACAACCGUGAUUCGUCCCGCACAAGCAUUUCGCGUACGCUGCACAGCGGUCGGUUGAUUUCAAGAACGUUGCCGCAAUGGACCGGUUUAAUAUACUAAGUUUUGAUUAUUGAUAAUACCACGAACAGUUCCAAUAACGAAUAAGUCAUUAAGCCAAUAAGCCAUUCAGUAAAAUGAGAAACAAAUCGAAAAUUUAGAAUUACUUUGAAAAGUAUCCGUCUGAAGGCCUUUACAUAGUUUGUUGGAAAUAAAAAUUGUAAAGGUGGAAACACAGUGAAUUCCGCUUAUAAAACUUACUUUGGGACCAGCAUAAAGUUGUCUAUUAACGCGGGUACACACACAAAUAAGUGCAUCGAUCAGUAAAUCAUUUAAAAAAUCUGAAAUGUAAUAUUUUCUGUAAUGCAGUCCACGGGUAACCCAUUAAAGCCGCAAUAUUAGUGUAUAUUGGUGUAUAUAUAGACUAAAAUAAUUUAUUGCAUACCAUCGAUGAAUUUAAUUUUAAUAUGGACUGUGCGGUGGUUAUACAUUUAUAUAUAUGGUUGUACACACACAUACAUAAUACAAUAUAGUCAACGGUUUUCACACGGACCGAAACACUCGAAAUUCCAAGUCCACUCACUAAUUCAGCCACUUGACGGCGAUUUUUAAAAUAAUAAUAAUCAAUUUCAUAAACAUUUAUAUAUAUGAAGGUAUAAUAACAUAACUGCCAUCACCGUCAUACUAAAUUACUAUAAAGGUUAUAUUAUAUAAUUGUCGGCAUAAAAGCUUAUUCACGUUAUAACUGUCAAAAAUAUAUCGUACACAACACGUUUUGUAUAUUAUAUUUAUAAAAUGAAUAACAUUGUGUAGAAAUAAUUUUUUUAUGUUUUUCUUACUCUCAUUAUACACCCAC